ncrna:unclassified sequences L31-Actinobacteria ribosomal protein leader
UCGGCCCCGGUUCACGCCCCUGCACCCCGCGGGAGCGACCCGGUGCC